UUCUCGUUGGUUUGUCGAUAUCAAACUGUGCAAAAACCCUAUUGCUUCCUCAGUCCAAGUGUUGAUCUCGAAAGAAAACUUUCCAUAGCAACAGGCAAAAGGAGAAGAGAAGCCCCACUGGGCCAGAAAGCCACUGAGAAGACAAGUGUGAAUGUUAUUGCCAGGCACUGAGAGUGCAGUGCUGAAAGAUGUACAACAUGAGUGAUCAAGGACAAAGCAGGACAUAACAAGAGGUGGCAGCAGCAGCAAGUAGCUGGAUGCAGGUGUGGCCACAUGUCCCUUGCCGUGAUGAUGACUCAGUGGUUGCUAUUGACUACAACAGAAGCUGUGACAAGCUGUGAGCUGAAUCAUGGAAGGUGAUGAUAUGUUCCAAGCAAAAGCACCUUGCCACAUCCUACUUCACCUUAUCAUCCAACCUCUUCUGAUUAA